rnacentral:misc_RNA from 1 species
GAUGAAGAACGUAGCGAAAUGCGAUAAGUAAUGCGAAUUGCAGAAUUCAGUGAGUCAUCGAAUCUUUGAACGCACAUUGCGCCCUGUGGUAUUCCGCAGGGCAUGCCUGUUCGAGCGUCAUUUCAACCCUCAAGCCCCGCUUGGUGUUGGGCCCCGCCCGCCGUGGCCGGCCCUAAAGACAGUGGCGGCGCCGCCUGGCCCUCAGCGUAGUACAGCUCUCGCUCCAGGGUCCGGCGGCCGCCUGCCAGAACCCCCCCAACUCUGUGGUUGACCUCGGAUCAGGUAGGGAUACCCGCUGAACUUAAGCAUAUCAAUAAGCGGAGGA